GUCUGUAUGUGUGUAUGGACUCAGCAGUGUGUGUGUAUGGAUUCAGCAGUUUGUAUGUGUGUAUAGACUCAGCAGUCUGUAUGUGUGUAUAGACUCAGCAGUGUGUGUGUGUAUGGAUUCAGCAAUCUAUGUGUGUGAGGACUCAGCAGUCUGUAUGUGUGUGUGGACUCAGCAGUGUGUGUGUAUGGAUUCAGCAGUCUGUGUGUGUGUGUGUGUGUGUGUGUGUG